rnacentral:rRNA from 1 species
AUUGAACGCUGGCGGCAGGCUUAACACAUGCAAGUCGAGCGGAGAGAGGUAGCUUGCUACUGAUCUUAGCGGCGGACGGGUGAGUAAUGCUUAGGAAUCUGCCUAUUAGUGGGGGACAACAUUUCGAAAGGAAUGCUAAUACCGCAUACGUCCUACGUGAGAAAGCAGGGGAUCUUCGGACCUUGCGCUAAUAGAUGAGCCUAAGUCGGAUUAGCUAGUUGGGGGGGUAAAGGCCUACCAAGGCGACGAUCUGUAGCGGGUCUGAGAGGAUGAGCCGCCACACUGGAACUGAGACACGGCCCAGGAUCCCACGGGAGGAAGCAGUGGGGAAUAUUGGACAAUGGGCGGAAGCCUGAUCCAGCCAUGCCGCGUGUGUGAAGAAGGCCUUAUGGUUGUAAAGCACUUUAAGCGAGGAGGGGGCUACUUUAGUUAAUACCUAGAGAUAGUGGACGUUACUCGCAGAAUAAGCACCGGCUAACUCUGUGCCAGCAGCCGCGGUAAUAC